GGGGGCGGGGCCUGUCUCCCGGGAAACCACCCUCGGGCCAAUGCGCGACGCCAGCCCCGGGUUUCGGUUGAGCGGCGGCUGUUAGAAGACCUGAACCGUUGCCACCCCCGGCCGCCAGUUGCGGGUAGAGGGGCCUCUGAGACUGGGGUACCGAGGCGCCUGCGACUCGGCGGCCGCGGCUAGGCCAGACGGGGGGCAGUGGCCGCCCUUUGCGACAGUAGACAGGGUUCGGGUUCGCGAUCCGCCCUGGUGGGUCUCGGGUGCGGGUGUCCGGCCGGCCGUUGCCCUCCCCAGUCUCCUGCAGCUGGAGGCGUGCGUCCCCCAGUGGGGGAGGUGGGAGUGCGGGCGCGGGAGGGGCCGCUGCCGGGCGAGGGUGAGCCAAGUCCGCUCCCCGGGCCGUGACCCGGUCGCCCCAUGCAGGUUCAGCGGCCGGAAGCCUGGCCGCAGCUCGCACCCGCUCCCCCCGCCGGAGCUCCCGGAGGUCCCUCGCCGGCAGCGCCUGUGUGUGGCUUGGAGAGGAGGAAAGUCGACUAUGAAGUAGCCUCGGAGUCACUCCUGCCCAGGCCUGCAAGUCACCGUUGCGGGUGUCAGUCUGUCGUUACCCAACUUGGGGCCACAGAAGCUUGACCCUAUGAAUACCCGGGAUAAUCCGUGGUCUCAUCAGCAAAGGCAAAUGCCUUACCCACCUGCUUCUUCCCCUCACUGCUUUCCUCCCAAAUGGUUCUCACUGGCUUCAAAACCUCUUCCUCGGUGAAUUCUAGUAGACUUGAUUUUGGAGCGUCCUUUAAGGUUCCAUUCCUCAAGGAUCGUCCAGGGCCUUCGGAGAAUAUGCAGAAUGUGUAAGUGCCACACUUUUGAAGGCAACAAUGUUUGGCUCCUUGCCUAAGGAUAGAGGCAGGUAUCAUGGGAGCCCAGGAGUGUGUGUGACCCCUACAGCCAGCACUAAUGAGUAUGGUAGGGAACCUCAAAGCCAUGCUGUAUAUUUUGUGUCAUGGUGAAGGCUCUGUCAUUUGCUCAGUUACUCCUUUGAGUAUCCAAGAGAAAUACUUAUGGCCGCUAGAUAAACUUGUAGGCUGUAUAUAGGAUAUCUUAAUAUGUCAAUAGUUUGAUUAGUAUAAUAAAAACAGCACAGAAAUCGUAA